GAAGCGGCAACAGCUCAAAUUUGAAAUCUGGCCCUUUCGGGGUCCGAGUUGUAAUUUGUAGAGAGUGUUUCGGGUGAGAUCACGGUCUAAGUCCAUUGGAACAUGGCGUCAUAGAGGGUGAGAAUCCCGUAUGUGACUGUGGAUCGAGCCCAUGUGAAGCCUCUUCGACGAGUCGAGUUGUUUGGGAAUGCAGCUCAAAAUGGGUGGUAAAUUUCAUCUAAAGCUAAAUACCGGCUGGAGACCGAUAGCGCACAAGUAGAGUGAUCGAAAGAUGAAAAGCACUUUGGAAAGAGAGUCAAACAGUACGUGAAAUUGUUGAAAGGGAAGCGCUUGCAACCAGACCUGUCCGUAGGUGAUCAGCCGCUGUUCUCAGUGGUGCACUCGCUCUGCGAUCAGGCCAGCAUCGGUUCGGGCGGUCGGAUAAAGGCCUUGGGAAUGUAGCUUCUUUCGGGGAGCCUUAUAGCCCUCGGUGCAAUGCGGCCAGCCGGGACCGAGGACCGCGCUUCGGCUAGGAUGCUGGCGUAAUGGUUGUAAGCGACCCGUCUUGAAACACGGACCAAGGAGUCUAACAUCUAUGCGAGUGUUUGGGUGUUAAACCCAUGCGCGGAAUGAAAGUGAACGGAGGUGAGAACCCCUAAGGGCGCAUCAUCGACCGAUCCAGAUGUCUUCGGAUGGAUUUGAGUAUGAGCAUAGCUGUUGGGACCCGAAAGAUGGUGAACUAUGCCUGAAUAGGGUGAAGCCAGAGGAAACUCUGGUGGAGGCUCGCAGCGGUUCUGACGUGCAAAUCGAUCGU
rnacentral:rRNA from 1 species